UUUUAUUCUGGCUUUAGAUUUUAAUGUAUAGACAAAAUUAUAUACAAAUUUUAGUGGUAAGUGAAAAUGUUGUAUAACGACAUUAGGAGCUUUUAUUAUCAAGAUGUAAUAUAGAGAAUUAAAUAUGAAAGUGAUUUUGAUUUAGGGAUUUAUAAUAAUGCUGAUUAAAUUUGUGCCAGCAAUUGCGGUUAUACAUAUAGCGUAAUUAAAUUUGUUCGGUUUGUAAUUGUUUAGAUUCUGUUUGAUUUAGAUUUAGCCUUAUUAGGUGAAAUUAGUAAGGUUAAUAAAAAUUUUGUUUGAGGUAAUGAGGUUAUGAGGUUUUUAAAAUAGACUAGGAUUAGAUACCCUAUUAUUGAAAAUGCAAAUAAGUAUGCCUGAGUAUUAGUAGCUAUGUUCUUGAAAUUCAAAGGAUCUGGCGGUAUUUUAGUCUAUUCAGAGGAACCUGUCCUAUAAUUGAUGGUCCACGAUUAAUUGUACUUGUUUUCAGUUUGUAUAUCGUCGUAGGUGGAAUGUUUUAGAAGAAAAAGGAAUGUUCAAGAUUUAUUUUUUUAUAAAGGAAAUCAGAUCAAGAUACAGCGUAUAAACAAGGAGAGAUGGGUUACAUUAAGUUUACUUAUAUGGUUAAAACGUUUAACAGGGUUUUAUAAAUUGGAUUUGAUAGUAAUAUGAUUAAGUUAAAUUGUAUGAUUCUAGCUCUAGAAUAUGUACAUAUCGCCCGUCGCUCCUUUUCCAAAGAAGGAUAAGUCGUAACAUAGUAGGUGUACUGGAAAGUGUACCUAGAAUGA
rnacentral:ncRNA from 1 species